rnacentral:lncRNA from 1 species
AUCCUGGAUCACCAUGACUCAGCAAUGUGCUUCUCUCUUCUGUUCUUAUUCCAUUUCACCCAUUUGCAGAAGGGGCAAAAGAGUCCUUCUGCAUACAAAAAUCUUUUAAUCUAAAACAGUGGUUUUUUCCCCCUUUUUUGAGUGUAAACAAUUUUUUGAAAUGAAGAAUGAGGAAGUGAAGAUAAGCAGCUGAGGCAGGGCUGGAGUGGCUGUCUGAGUCAUGCAUCGUUUUGUUGCAGAAGGCCGUCCCUAAAUUAUAUCUGCUUUUGUUAGCACUUUGUUAGUUACUUUUGAGGUUUCCACUCUGGGAUUGUCUUCUAGGGCCAACUUUCACCAAUGGAAGUAAAAUUUGUUUUUCCAGCACUCUGGUGCACCGUCCCUGCUACCGUUCAGCCCACAGAACAGGGAUCACCUUGUAAAUGCUUUGGAACAAGAGCACCCUUCAUUCUCCAGGUUGUGUGGCUUAGUUUUGAGGGAUCCUACUCCACAGCACUGUUUUGGUACAAAAGAUAAGUCCAAACAAAGGAUAUAGACUGGGGCUAAGAACAAAUGAUCAGUCUGCAAUGACAAAGAGCUUCAUAAACUCCUGGUUAGCCCGCUUAAGUAAAGUUACUUGCAAAGAAUCUUCUGAUAUGUUAAUUAUGUUAUUCAUACUGUUUUUCUGAAUCUCAAAACAAAGUGUGAUCUUGAUUUCAA